ensembl:lncRNA
ACUGGGCACUGUGCACACUGCUCCAAGAUGUUAUUCUUAACAGGAUCUUUGAGGGAAGCUCUGCAGGUCAUUUGCUCUUUGACUUGCCUCAAUGUUUACUUGGUUUCCCUAACUCCUACUGUGUCCUCCAGUAGGGUGGCACGGCCCUGCUCAUCUCCAUGUUGUUCUCCAUGAUGGCGAUCUAGGGAAGCAUGUUGUUCACCUUGCCCAUAUGUUCAGCUUUCCACUGCGCUCCAACACGGGAACGGUUAAGCAGCAUAAACAGCAAACAGGUUCAUGUGCCUAAGCACUUCCAGAUGCCUGAGCAGGUCAGUGGAGACCCAUUCUGGUAAUAGCGCAGUAAAAAUACGAAACACUUUUGGGGAGGAGAGACCCAGCAUUUCAGCUGAUCUGACACACUGCUCUCUCAUUUCACCGAGGCUUUCCCUGAAUGUGUCUCUUUCUGAAGGAAGACCUUGGUGCUCCUCGCUCUGAUGGAGCUGCAGCUUUGGCAUUGGUGACACUGGAGGGGUUCUCCAGAGCAUCCCAACACCAACCCCAUCAAACUUUCCCUCGCCUCUUCCCACUGUUGUCCCUGAUUUCAUGCUUCCCAUCAGGGAUGGGAAAUGCUCAGGAAAACAAUUUCCCCCUGUCCAAAGCUGAGCCCUGCAGAGCUAACCAUACAGGUCCUGCUUUCUUCUAAACCUGAAGUUUGUCUUGAGGAUGGGCUUAUUUGAAAUAAAUGAAGACUUUCCAU